CACGUACUCCCCUUCUCCAAC
rnacentral:miRNA from 1 species